CCUUACUACCAACCGCCGAUCGGUUUUUCUUUCCUGAGGCCCGUUGAAUUCUGGGAGUUGUAGUCAUUCUCUAUUGAGAAAGGGUCUUAAGUGACUCGGGCGGAGCUUUUAGGCUACUCAGUCACGAUGGAAGAGACGACCUUUCUCGCCUACUCAAUCAACCAGCCAAUCCCCAGUCUACGGCGCGGUAACGACUCGGGUAGCUAGGUAGAUUCUCUCGGGGUCCCCCUGGAAGUGGACCGUGCGCCCCCUAGAGCCUCGAGAUGCCCUCCUUCCUGUGGCCCGGCUUCGGCCAAGCUCAGGAUUCUUUCUCAGACCACCAGAGCUCUGCUCCGAUCUGCCCAUCACCCCAUCUGUCUUCGUGCUUCAUGUAAAGCAGCACCUUGAAGUAGAGACUGUUCUUACACCUCAGUACUCAGGACAGCCGUCAGGGACAGAGGGUUGGCUUCUGGGGAGCAACAUAGACUGACUGAGGGUGCUAGACAGAGAAGUGGGACAAUCAGGUGAGCUUAUUCUUGCUGCCUCAGAGCUCCAAACCCCACAGCAGAGGAUGAGGAAAGGAUUGAGGGAGGCUAUGCAAACAGAUCGAAGCAAUGUGCUAUAAAGAACACCAGAUUGCAAAGAGUUUAAAGACCAUAAACUAGCUAGGGGACAGAGAGCAUAUCAGACUCUCUCCAAUCUCUGGUCUCUGUGUCUGUUAACAUAACAUUUCCCUCUCUGCCCACUUCACAGAUUGAGAAGGAAGAUGAAAAAGGGGGAGAAUACUUCUGGCUGUGGUUCCCAGUGGGGCUGGGGCAAACACUUACUUAUCCACCAAGCCCUUGUGUUGGAGGAUGCUGUGUAGCUCCCGGGCUGUCUGGGGCCCUUGCAGCUUCUGCCCAUUCAGCAUCUCUUUCUCCAGCUGCUCAAUGGACUGUGAAGAAAACAGGAUGGGCGGAUGGAAAUGGGAGAGGAGGAUUGUCAUUGUGAGAUGGAGAGUCUGGGGCUCAGAUGAGAGGUGGGAGAUCUUAGGAGGAAAGAAAGCCUGGAAAUGUUCACACCAAGUUUAAUGUCUGUGCUUAAGAUAUACCUCCAGCCCGGUUCUCUACCUUGACACCUGUAGUGUCCACCUUCCCUUCUCCAUUCCCUCUGCGACUCACCUUUCCUGUACUGGCAAACGCCUCUGCCACCUUGCGGUUCCGCCCUCCAUAGCAGGUAGUAAUGAGGUCAGCAACACCACAGCUCUCCAAGAAGGUGGCAGGGGACACAGGGCCCCUACAGAAGAGUUUGGCGAAGGCGAUCAUCUCCAUGAGCCCCAGCCGGAUCACCGCUGCCUUGGUGUUGUCGCCAAAGCCCAGCCCAUCGCAGAAGCCAGCCCCCACGGCCACUACAUUCUUUGGGGAAUGGAGGACACAGUUGACAAAGGAUCCCCUCCUGCAAGCCCUACUUGGAGCCCUCACAACCUGCCUCAUGCUGCUUCCAUCAGCCACUAUAAGUCCACUGAAAUUAAGGGAAGUACAGUGGGUGGCUCCUCAACUAUUUCCUCCUCUUGAUUAUCCCCUUUGCUAUACUCCCUCUUUUUAGCAUGGGCUUAUGCUUACUGGCUCCCCAAAUUAGCUCCAUACUCCAUCCUUGAGGACAUUUACUGAAAACCAAUCUUCUCUCCAGCUGGCCCUCUCAUCCAUGACUAUCCCUGAUAUCCACAGCUCUGUCUAGGAUCCAGUGGUCUAGCCAUCAAUCUCUCUGGGUGUCCUGGACAUCUUGUCUCCCAUUAGCCUGGGUGCUCUUCCAGGGCAUCUCCUCUUCCCUCUGGGCCACCCUCUGGAGCCAGGGGUAGGGAUGUCCUGUAAGAAGCUAUAAGGAGAAAGGAAGAAGCAGGUCCAGAGUCUAAUGAUGAAUAAAUUAGCAGGCCUAAAUGA